GACGAACGCUGGCGGCGUGCCUAAUACAUGCAAGUGGGACGCAAGGGAACACACUGUGCUUGCACACCGUGUUUUCUUGAGUCGCGAACGGGUGAGUAACGCGUAGGUAACCUGCCUAUUAGCGGGGGAUAACUAUUGGAAACGAUAGCUAAUACCGCAUAAUAUUAAUUAUUGCAUGAUAAUUGAUUGAAAGAUGCAAGCGCAUCACUAGUAGAUGGACCUGCGUUGUAUUAGCUAGUUGGUAAGGUAAGAGCUUACCAAGGCGACGAUACAUAGCCGACCUGAGAGGGUGAUCGGCCACACUGGGACUGAGACACGGCCCAGACUCCUACGGGAGGCAGCAGUAGGGAAUCUUCGGCAAUGGACGAAAGUCUGACCGAGCAACGCCGCGUGAGUGAAGAAGGUUUUCGGAUCGUAAAGCUCUGUCGUAAGUCAAGAACGUGUGUGAGAGGGAAAGUUCACA
rnacentral:rRNA from 1 species